GCCCUCUCUGUGGUGACGGCGGCGCAGAGACACGGAAACUGUCCCACGGUGCAGAAAUGGCUGCUGAACCCACCGGAGAAACACCCGCUCUGGCUGCCGAGAACCACGCACCCUCUGCGGGGACAAGCGAGAGCAAUGGCGAGGACAAAGAGAAGGGCCUCACCGAAGCGGAACCAGCGGAACCAGGCGCUCACGUAGAGCCGAAGAUGGAAGAGGCGGGCGGGGAGGCCAGCGAGGAGAAGCCCGCUGAAGCUGCGGACAAGGCCCCGAGCGAGGCGGAGGCACACGACGGCACCGUAACGGUCAGCCAGGAGGAGACAGCCGCUCCCGAAGAACCGGAGGCGAAGCCCGAGCCCGAGCAGAGCCCCGGAGAGGGCAACAGCGAGCCCGCCAACCACAGCGCCAUGAAGGAGGCGAAGGAGGAACCGGGGGAGGACAGCCGGUGCUCGGAGGCGGACUGUGAGAAGAGCAAAGCGGUGUGUGAGGAUGGGGAGAAACCGAGCAGCGGAGGCGGGGAGCUGGACGACAAGAGGCGGCCCAGCGUGGAGAUAUCAUCCUCGGACGGUGAACCGCUGAGCCGCAUGGACUCGGAGGACAGUAUCAGCAGCACCCUGAUGGAGAUGGAGAGCACGGUGUCCAGCGGACGCUCCACUCCUGCUAUGAUGAACGGACAGAUCAACGCCAGCUCCUCUGUGGCUAAGACCGUGGCCUACUCCUGCUGCUGGGACCUCUGUCCGCAGUGCUUCAACUCAAGUCCUGAUCUGGCUGAGCACAUCAGGGGCAUUCAUGUGGAUGGACAGAGAGGAGGGGUGUUUGUGUGUCUGUGGAAGGGUUGUAAGGUGUAUAACACACCAUCCACCAGUCAGAGCUGGCUCCAGAGGCACAUGUUGACCCACAGCGGAGAUAAGCCCUUCAAGUGUGUAGUCGGUGGCUGUAACGCCAGCUUCGCCUCUCAGGGAGGUUUGGCUCGCCAUGUGCCGAGUCACUUCAGCCAGCAGAGCUCCUCUAAAAUGUCCAGCCAGGCCAAACUCAAAGAGGAGUCACCGUCAAAGGCUGGACUUAACAAGAGGAAGAAGCUCAAGAACAAACGCAGGUGCUCCCUACCGAGGCCCCACGACUUCUUCGAUGCUCAGACCAUGGAUGCUAUUCGCCACAGGGCCAUCUGUCUCAACCUCGCCACCCACAUCGAGAGCGUGGGCAAUGGCCACAGUGUGGUCUUUCACAGCACGGUGUUGGCCAGAAGGAAAGAGGGGUCUGGCAAGGUGAAGGUUCUCCUGCACUGGACACCUGAGGACAUACUACCUGACGUGUGGGUGAAUGAAACGGAGCGAUGUCAGCUGAAGACCAAAGUGGUGCACUUAUCCCAGUUACCGCAGGACACAGCCAUGCUGCUGGACCCAAACAUCUAUAGGUCCCCCGUAGUGUCUCCGGAGGAGUCGCAUGUUUGAACCCAAGUGUCUGAGAUUGAGGCUCCAAAUUAUCUGCAGACUUUCUCCGCCUGGCCUCCGAGUGUAAAGUCCAUAGAAAUUCAGGAGAAUUCGAUGUGAGAACACAGCAGGGGAUCCCCCGCUGGAUUGAUGCACCCCGCAAAGCACUUCCUCAAAAGCGGCUGAAGUGCAGCCUGUGAGGAGGCUCCUGUGGACUCGAUACUUAAGGGGAAAUCCUUGUGCAUAGGACAUUUAUCUGUAAGGGAUGGGACACUCUUCAUCUGUCUCUGCUGAACGGGGGAAGUGAAGAGGCGAUAAAAGGGAGUCCUCCUUUUUUAUAUAUUUUGUGUAUAUGAAACAAUGGUUGUAGCCAAGUGUGGUGGUAAAAUGGGACUAACAAUUUUUUAAAGAAACGUUUGUGUUCAUCAAAAACUUAAAUGAAUGUUUUUAAAUAAGCACCAAGCUGAACAUAUUCUUCAUACCCAAUGGUGUUAAAAGCUGUUUUGUGUACGUUUGUCAGAAGAUGCAGCAUCUUUUUAUAACUGUUUUGUGUAAAAUAUUUAUGCAGAUUUGUAACUUAUUUUUAUACCAUGUACUGUGGCUUUUUGUGAAGGUUUUGAAUAGAACCGUAUUUACUGUGAUAAUCUAUGUUAACUAUCACUUAUUGGGAUAUUUGAACAUUUCUAGUUGUAAUUAUGUUGUACAUAACAAAAGUCUUAACAGAUGAUCCUAUUUAUACUUCCUGAAUGCAGUACUGUUAGCUGUGUGUAGGACAGCCAGGUGUGACAUUGUGUCAGUCAUGUCAGACUUUGUAUUCAAUACAAUGCAAAAUGUUACAGAAGCAAUAACUCUGUAGUAGCUCUUAACCCAGUAUGUACAGUACUGCAUAAUAUGACUCUGACAUGUUAGCACACACUUAAAGUGUAAAUCACACCGGUUUAUCAACUUAAACAGGAACUUUGUAUAUCAUAGUCCAUAUGAUACAUUUACAUCACCGCCAUUUACAAUUAUUGAUAUGAAGUUGUGUUUUCUACUGUGUUUGGAAAUUGAACAUGUGUUUUUAAUAAAAUGGCGGAAUCGACA